rnacentral:rRNA from 1 species
GGAAAGGGGUGUAUUUAUUAGAUAACAAACCAAUAUUCCUCGUGUCUAUUGUGACGACUCAUAAUAACUGAUCGGAUCGCAUGGGCUUUGCCCGCGACAAAUCAUUCAAGUUUCUGCCCCAUCAGCUUUCGAUGGUAGUGUAUUGGACUACCAUGGCUUUAACGGGUAACGGAGGAUUAGGGUUCGAUUCCGGAGAGGGAGCCUGAGAAACGGCUACCACAUCUAAGGGAGGCAGCAGGCGCGUAAAUUACCCAAUCGCGACUCGCGGAGGUAGUGACAAGAAAUAACGGACCGAAGCCUAUGUUUCGGGAUUGCAAUGAGUAGAAUUUAAACCCCUUUACGAGGAUCAAUUGGAGGGCAAGUCUGGUGCCAGCAGCC